rnacentral:lncRNA from 1 species
CGGGCUCGCCCAAUGCACGCCCUCGGAUUCCCUAAGGCUUUGUGCCCUGUGCCCUCAGGGCAUUUCCGAACAAUUCAGCAAACCUUCCAGGCUUCUACAACCCAGCUGCAAACUGUCUCUCUUCCUCUGUAGACAAGGGAAGAGGCAUUUCAACGAAGACAGGUGUUUCCAGGCCACCAGGUAUGACCAAAAGCUUCGCUCAUUCUACCUCAUUCUGCACGUGGCCCAAGCUGUCACAACACCAGUCAACACGAGGUCUGCACAGUAAGUGACUGCGCACCCGAACUGGAAGCGUCUGCUCAAAACACGUGCCCGCCUUCUCGGGAAACAGUCUGCACCCAGGGACCGGCGGUCCCCGCCCCAAAGGCCGCAGGCUCCAGGGCGGACGCGGCACCCGCGAGGCUCGCGCCUCCGUCCUUCCAGCGUCCUCCCCGCGCGGGCACCGCUGCCCUACCCUCCAAGACAGGCCGGAGCCGCCGUCCCCUCCGGCUGGGCCUCCCCCGCACUGCGCCAGGGGCCGGUGCUCGGCGUCUGCACCCUCGGGGGACCCAACCGGCCCUCGGCCCGCGAGCUCAGCGCUGGAGGGCAGGCGCGACUCGAGGCUCGCUCUGGACCCGGACACAGACUCCGCGGCCGGCCGCGUCCCGGUGUCACCGGCCCGGGCGCGGCCGCAGCUCCCCGGGCUCCCGCCACCAGACCCCGGCCUGCCGGUCCCCGCGUCCCCAGCCCCACACAGUGCUGAGCCCCAGCGAUCGCGGGUGCGGGCCCGGCCUCCCGCCUCAGGCCGCAGCGAUCCGGUCAGAGGCAGGGAAACCGCGAGGCGGCGGGAGCCCCGCUCGGCGCAACAGGCCCACCACAGCCCCGGGCCCGGCCUCCACAGCCACGACCCGACCGCGCCGGGCCCGCCCGGAGGGCCGCGCACCGCAGGGAACAGCCGGGGACCCGCACACGCCCCCGCCCAGCUCCGGGACCGCCGACACCUCCUGCCCCCCGCCCAGAACCCGCCGGGCCCCUACCUGCGCCGCGCUCCCCUCGCCGGCGUCGGCAGCUCGGCGACCCGGCGGCCGACUUCCGCUCCUCCCCACCACCACUGAGGGCACGGCGGGCGAGGCUAGAGGGGCCCAGGGCCACCACAGAGAGGCCCGGGGAAGCCUAGAGCGGAGCCGCAGCGUCCGGACGGAAGGGGCGGGGCCCCGCGGACAUCCCUGACGCCGAGAGAUGACGUUGCUCAGAGGCCGCCAGGGGAGGCCGUCUGCCCCGUGGCCGGAGUGGAGUUUGACCAGGGGAGCCUCACUUAGACUCCGGGAGUGUACCGCUUCCUCCCUCCUCAUACCUUCUGCAGCCUCUCACGUCACAGGCGCUUGAGGUGGGCUCAGUCCUGACACCCAUGGCGGAUUUGCAUCCUAGAGAAUCAACGGCCAGCAACCUGCGAGGUGACACUCCAUAAAGCCUCUUCUCUGCUUUCCAAGGCUGCUUUAAUUCUCCAAACGACCUAGACCAUUGAUGCCUGAAGACCUAGUGAGAGGCUGUCUUCAUCGUAGGGGAUUCCUGACUGGCAACCCCUCCUGCUGGCUCUGAAACACACUAUGAUUGUUUAUUCUUC